rnacentral:rRNA from 1 species
GAUGAACGCUGACAGAAUGCUUAACACAUGCAAGUCAACUGUGGCGGACGGGUGAGUAACGCGUAAAGAACUUGCCUCACGGAUAGGGACAACAUUUUGAAACGAAUGCUAAUACCUGAUACUGUGAGAGAGCUUUGCGUCCCAUUAGCUAGUUGGAGAGGUAACGGCUCACCAAGGCGAUGAUGGGUAGCCGGACUGAGAGGGUGAUCGGCCACAAGGGGACUGAGAAAUGGCCCUUACUCCUACGGGAGGACGCAGUGGGGAAUAUUGGACAACGGACCAAAGUCUGACCCAGCAAUUCUGUGUGCACGAUGAAGUUUUCGGAAUGUAAAGUGAGUUCAGUUGGGAAGCGGUACCAACAGAAGAAGUGACGGCUAAAUACGUGCCAGCAGCCGCGGUAAUAC